rnacentral:rRNA from 1 species
CCCUUAGAUGUUCUGGGCCGCACGCGCGCUACACUGAUGCAUUCAACGAGUCUAAAACCUGCUCUGAUAGGGGUGGGUAAUCUUUUGAAUGUGCAUCGUGAUUGGGAUAGAUGAUUGCAAUUUUUCAUCUUCAACGAGGAAUGCCUAGUAAACGCAAGUCAUCAGCUUGCAUUGAUUACGUCCCUGCCCUUUGUACACACCGCCCGUCGCUCCUACCGAUUGAAUGAUCCGAUGAAUAUCAUGGAUUGAGGAUGCAAGUAGGUUCGCCUGUCUUCAUCUUCGAGAAGUGAAGUAAAUCUUAUCAUUUAGAGGAAGGAGAAGUCGUAACA